AGUAAUCGCGCCACCACGUCGAUAAAAAUACACUCGCGCUUAUCUCUUAUCUUAAUUUGUCAACGAUAAGCAUUAACAUUAUCAUCACAAAUACAGUCAGUGCAUUUUUUUCACGUGAACCACAAUGGACUUUUACAAAAAAAUGGUGAAGCCCAAAGACCCUAAUGGUGUUUUAAGUGAAAAAGAGUAUAAAUGUGCCAGUUUGCAGGCAAUUAUCAACGAAGCAAUUAAAGAAAACAAUAAGAGACAUUUAAGAGAUUUAGUUGAAGAGGUGAACGAGCACUUGGCGGAUCUGAGAGCCAUAAAAAACGACGUUAAAAACCAAGAUAAGUGCAAUAAAAUAAUAAAGCAACUGGAAGAUUGUUUGAUAAAAAUUGCAAAUCAAAAUGACGUGUUUCACGAUGUUAUGGCAACUAUUCAAGCGCAACUGCAAGAAUUGCAAAAUUUAACCAAUCGAGCUAUAAGGGAUGAGAGCCUAGAUGAACUUAAGAGGCUAGCAGAACGUAUGGAAGGGAAUAUAGCCAUUGUAAAAGAAAUCCCAGAAGUAAAAGGAGCUAUCAGCGGUGAUAAUAGAAACGAAAAAGUUUUAGAAGUUGUUAAUCAAUAUACGAGUUUGCUGAAUAAGGCUUUGGAGCAUAUUAAUAGACAAAGCAAGGUCAUUAGUGCUCCAAUACCUGUUGAGGAUAUACUAAAUAAGUCUGAGGUACAAAGCCCGUUCAAACAAAAUAAAGUGGCCCUAAACGAAGUCGAAGAAAAAUUAAAACUGAUGCGUCAAAAACGACUGGAUCGACUGAGCACUUUUGUGGACCAACAGUCGAAACUUUCCGGGGAGCGGAUCAAAGAAAACGCGACGGACCACGGGGCGAAAAUAACCGAAAAAAUUGGCAACGAAAGGCUGGAAUCGGUGGAAAUGAGCGAACCGGAACGUGGUUCGUUUAAAGUUGAAAAAGUCCGGGAAACCGGAGCGACAAGCAAUUUUGGUAAAGGCGUUCGGCACGAACUUUUAGCGCAUCCAGAAAAAGUUCAGAAGGAAAAAACUUUCGGGAAAAACUCAAGUUCGGACGUGAAACCCGGAUUUGUGAGCGGAUUAAGAAAUAGUUUCGGAAAGGGACCGGUGUCUGGAUCAACGGCAAAGUCUGGAAAUUCAGUUAGGCCACGGGAACCUGCUCCACCACCUCCGCUAAAUAAUUACAAAACAACACCAGAAAAACCCAUGAGGCAAAUUUUAGAAGAAACUCAAGGAAACACACCAAAUAUCAGGGAAAUAUCCAGAAACAGUGUGGUUACCAAAAGCUUUGCUGAGAGGCAGAUCGAACAUGCCAAAAAUCAAAAUGCUUCUAAGUUGACUCCACCAAGGACCCCAACCAACAUCAAAAAGAAAUUUUUCAACAGCAUCAAUUGUGUGCUGGGAAGCAGCAGCAAGUCCAUAGAAGAUUUACCAGAUGAAUUCAAAAGUCCAUUUGAAAGAGAACUGAAAAAUGUACAUUUAAAAAGCGCCAGCCGUUUGGAACAUAAAGAGAAAGACAACUUGUUAGUGGAAGAUGCAGGUGCCAAAGUUAGAAGAUCAAGUUCCGAUAGAAGCCAAGAAAAAAGUGAGCAAACCAUAAAAACAUUAACUCGAGAUGAGAUACCUCCAUUACUACCCUUAAGAAAAAAUAAGAUACCCUUAGAGAGACCAGUAAUACCAAUUGAAAAAAGCACUUCUCAAUGUCAUCUAGUAAGCAAACCAAGAGCCAACAAAGGAGAAGUCAGCGCAGAAGAAGCCAUAAGAAAGAAAGUCUGGAGAACCUCCUUGGAUUUCGAUACGGUGAUGAUCAGAAGAGCAGAACCUAUAGAAGAGUGUACCAUAACAAUUAAAAGAGAUAGCAAUAACACCAUUGAACCCACCACUGAACGAUGCUCAUUCACCUCUUUUAAGUCUACUACAGAUAACUCAAUUGAAAACCCUUUGUAUGAAUUAAUUGAUAAUUUAAAUCCUGCUCCAGCAAUUAGAAGGAAAGACUCAUUACAUUUAGAUAAUCUGCUCUUGUCUGCGAAAACUUCAAGUUCCAGUAAUGUCCUCGACUUGGUUCAUGAUGAAAACCACAGAAAACUUCGCAGAUCAUCGUCCAUAUUACGAAAAGAUUCGCAGUCAUCGGUCAUUCCAAACAAAUUCUUGAUAACUGAACCCAUUAUAUCCAAGCUGGAGCAAGCAAUUUUAUAUUUUAGAGGGUUAAAGAGAGAUGAUGACUAUUUUUGGCUAGAUAAGCUUCUAUCGAAAUACUACGUAAAGGUCGACGAAAUCGAAACGAAAACCGCUUUUGAUCAGAUUGAAAAGAACAAUUUGUUAGAGAGACUUAGAAAGGCUAAUAAAAAUUUGGAAGUGAAGGUGAAUCAUAACGAGGAUAUGCUGAAAAAGGUGUUUCAGGAGCAAGUUGAGAUACUGGGGAAAAAGUAUAUGAUAAAAUAAGAUUAUGGUGACCAGGAUGAGCGACCUCUAGGAAAUAAGCCGCCUUAUGUGAUUUGCCCAGUAGCUCAAUAUAUGCUCUGUUAUGUCAAUCUUUUGUCCUUCCUAAGCUAUGGGUAACAACUGUACAACCAGCAACGUGUGCUUCUGCAAGCGAUUCUACAAAACCGACCCAAACAUCAUUGAAAUCAUCGUGAAAGACACCAAAGAUAUCACGUUAAAAACCGUGCAAUUAAACUCAAAAAAAAUCCGAAAAAUUCGCUUUAUAUUACCAAUAAUUAAAGUUACUGAUGAAUUUAAUCGGGAGCAUUUAGUUUAUCAUCCUCAGGAGGAAUUAAAUGUGAAAGAAGAGGACAAUGCUAGUACUAUGACUAAGACUAUCGUAAUUUCUUCAGAUAGUGUGCCGCAGGUAAAUGGUAGUAAAAAAGUUUCGUAUGAAUUUGAAGAAAUCGAUUUGACUAGUUAACAUAUACUACUUAAAGUAAUUAAAUUAAAAUUCCUUGAAUAUACUAUCUAAAAGGGGUAUUAAAAUUCCUUAAUUACUUUUAAGCCCUUUAUACCUGAACCGUAUAAAAUUCAGGUAAUAUUAAAAUGAAAUACAAUAAUAAUUUCAAGAAUAAUAUCAGUUAAUUAAGUUCAGUGUAACGAGAUGGUCAUAAUGGCUCCCUCGAAAAUUCCUCGACCCGUAGUAGAAUCAAAAAACAAUUUUUAUCCAGCAAAGCCUCACAAACAAAUAUCCAAAGGUCGGGAAACAUUGUUCUGCUAAAAAGCGAUAUUAGAAAAUAAAGUCUGAGACGAGGUACAACUUUUGUAAAUAAAUAUACUGAAGUAAUUGGGAAAAAAAGAGAUAAGACUUUUGUAAAAGUAAGAAGUCAAGAAUUUGUUUAUAAAAUAACUGACUUUCAUAAAGUGGUUUAUGGUAGCGGUUGUAAGAAGUACAAAUCUGAGUGUGAAAAAUUCAUUUUGAAAAUUAUGAAACGUGUUGCUGAUGUUGCUAAUGCGGAAUCCUUGGAAUUGCUUGCCUUGUCUGUCUUUGGUCUGUUCAGUUUUUUAUUUGUAAUUUUGUUACAUGUACCUUAAGUAGUUUUGUACUUAAAUGUAUCAUCUAGUCUUAGUUAAGAUACAAUAUAUUGUUUUAGUCAUAGUAUUUUGUAUAUAAAAAUGUAAAAUAAAAAAUUUAUAUCGAU